AUACUUACUUGGUAGGGGAGAUACCAUGAUCAAGUUCACCCAGGGUGAGGCUCACCCAUUGCACUCCAGUUGUGCUGAACACUGAGAAUUCCCCAAAUGUGGAAAUCUUGAUUGUCUAAUUUCUGGUAGUCGGGGACUGUGUUCACAUUCUCCCCUG